rnacentral:lncRNA from 1 species
UCCAAAGACCUGCAACACCUCCUCUCUGGCACGUACUUGCCACUCCGGAUGUAAGCAGAGCAAAAUCAUUGUCCAUACGAGUAAUACUGAAGUUGUCUCUUGUCCAGCAAAAUAGAAUACUGAAGUUCGAUUUCUUUCAAAUUGGAUUCGAGUAAUAUGCCCAAUAAGUCAUCUUUACUGGUCUCCCCUGCUUCCAUUGCCCUCAAUCUUUUGUCAAUGAUACACCUAAUUGUGGUUUGAAUUUCCUUUUCAAUUUCCAGCAUUCUUUUGUUUCUUUUAGUAGGCAAGAACCUAUAUGAACAAAUUUAUUCAAACAAGAAAAGUCUAUUAGUAGAAAAAUUGCUAAGAAGAUUUUUCAUAUUUAAUUACAGAGAGAUUUUGCAAGCACAAAAGAAAGUUUUGAACAUGGAAAUGUGAUGUACAUAAAUUGUUGUACCUUGAUCCUGGUAUAUAAAUUGAUUGUCCUUUUUCGAUUACAUACUCAGCUUGUUCUUUCUGAAGUUCAAAUACUGUUCUUCCUUCUUCAUAGCUACUCCCAAAUGCUGUACGAGAUAUGACUUCACUAGUCAUUAUUUGAAGGUCUGGCCAUACAUCGAGUUCGAAUGAUGUUCCCGUUGGAACAAUUUCCUCCCAUUUGCUUAACAUUUCACUACAACUCAUAUAAAAUGCCGGCAGCAUAUGCUGUAAAUCAAAAAACCAGUAAGUGCUUGUUAUAAAUGGAUAACUUCUUAAUGUUAAUUAAGGCAUCUAAAUAAGCAAUACUAAGUCAAAGGCAUAUAAAAUUUACCGUGUUAUCUAAAUUUGGUUCUCUCUUGAUUCAAUUUGUUGUCUUACUUCCCUUCUAAGUCUCUUAAAAAAAGAACGUCACUUUCUAUAUUUAGUAAUUCUAUUAACUCCAAUAUGCCACAUUGAAUGUUUAGACCACAAGAUUCAAAGGAUAUUUUGGUACAUUAUACACAUCUUUAGUUUAAGACUACAAGAUUCAAAAGACUCCCUUAUUUUCUUAAACAUCGCCCGUGCCCAAUCAAACUAUCCUAGAAGUGAGGUUUGAAAAGGGUGGUGUGUGCAUAGACCUUACCCCUACCUAGUAAAAGUAGAAAGGUCAAGUAUAACAAUUCAAAACAGGUUUGAAAAAGCAAUACAGUAAUGACGAAAUCACGUUGAAAAUAAUGGAGAAAAGAGCAGUAACAACAUAAAAAUAUAACGGAAGGAGUAGUAAAGUAGAACCUUUAACUUCUCUAUGUGGAAGACGGGAUUGAUGAUUUUUCUGUGUUUGGCCCAUUUGUCUCCCUCAAUGUUUGGUAGACCCUGAGCCAAUAACUUGGUCAUUGGAUUGGGAUGAUUUUGCUUUAGAUACACAUAAUUCUUUGUGAAAAUCUCCUUUAAAUGUUCAGGAUCUGUGAUCAAUAUAACUGGAUAUGGGCCUAACCACAUAAAAGAACUUUUACCUGCAAGUAUCUCUUAGUUAUUGCUAUGAUUUAUUGUUUUUUUCCAGAAAAGGAAUUUCAACAACAAAAUCACUAAUGAAAUUCACAAACAAGGAAUAGGCAUUUCACGCACCCAAUGAUCUGGCCUAGUGGUUAAUUGUUGAAGUGUCUGACAAUCUCAUCUGAGCAUACUUUUAUUAUUUAAUUAUAUUCUCAACAUAGAUGAAGUAAUACAGAGACUAUAACACUAGGUGACUCUUCUUAUCUGACCUAGCUUCAGUGGACAAAUUAGUCGAGGUGUACGAAAGCUGAGCCAGACACCACGGUCAUUAAAAAAAAAAGGGAACAAACAUUUCACAACUUCAUCAAAAGUUCAGUCAGGCAUUUUACCAAACAGUUGAUACACAUCACACAACAUCUUUGUAACUAAGAAACAUACCAUUUUUGUUGAUGGAGUCAAGGAAAAAGGGGAUGAGCCUUUGAGCUAUAUCAUCAGAGAAAUUGAUAGGCUUAGAUUUGGCUUCUACUAUACUUUUUGUGAGUUCAUUCAAAUCUCCAUAGAGUAACUUGUAUGGAUUUCCUUUUAGACCAUUUUGUAUAAAGUAUUUCUCUACUUUCUUUGGUCUAAACCAUGCCCAAUUCAACACUUUCCAUGUAUAAAUUAAUAAAAUUGCAACACAUAUUGUUGCUAUUAUGUUGCUCAACAUCUCCAUUUUCACAAAGUCACAAAGCUUCUCUCAACUGCUUCCUCUUGUUAUACAAAAAUGGCCAUAAGUCAAAAGGAAUCUUUCUUGCUAAUUUUAAAUGGGGUGAGAUAUUUCAAUUUAUUUAAAAUGUAAACAUUUGAUUCAUAAGUUUAUACUUUGUAUAAUUUUUAGAGAUGCACAAGUAACUCUAGACUAUGAUCAAAAUUUCAAGACAUUGAUUAAUUAAAUUAAGGUCUUAUUAUCCCUAAACUUAUUUUUUGUAAUUUUAUACGUUUAUGUGGAACACUCCGUGACUCCAUGCAACUGAGGCACGUGAGAGAUAUUUGGAUGUCACGUAAGCCAAAAAGGUGUGCAAAAUUUUAAAAAAAAUGGGUUCAGGGAUAACAGGACCUUAGUUUAGUUAAUGUGUGUCUCUGAAAUUUUGGUCAUAGUCUAGGUAAUUUUUAUUAUUAUUUUACAUUUUGCAGAAAAAAAAUCAUGUUCAAGUUAAAAGAUUGUUUGUACCGUGUAAAAAAAUGAUACUGUUAUUGUUGACUAGUAGAUCUUGAUAAAGAUACGUGUAUUUGAAAGUUUGUAAUUGCAAAUAUAUUUAGUUAUAAAAGAAAUAGAGUGAUACGUGAUUUAUCAAUAGUGCAUUAGUAUACUUUGAUAUCUUGUUUAGGAAUCACGAUUAUAUCAUUUUAUAAUAUUGCAUAAGAAUUGAUUUGUUUUAUUUUUUUAUAUAUAUAGUUUUCAUAAUUUGUGGGAUUUUCUAUUAAGAAAAACAUACAACUAAUGAAAUCAAAAUUUCAAUUCAAUCUGAUUUUAAAUCAUGUCCAAAUAAAACCUUAAUCUGCUCAAGUUUUAGCCCAUUCAUCGCUAUCAAGAAUUUAAUGAAUAAAUAAGAAUUCUCUGUCCUUAAUUUGAGAUCUCAAAGUUUGACAUAGAUUGCAAUAUGGAUGUAUAUUAAUUGAAGCUCUAAUAUAAAUAUCGAACGUCAAUCAGAAAUUAAUGAAAAAAAUUUACCCCUCCUGCUAUGCCUGUUUAGUAAGUAUUUUUUUUUCAUAAUUCUGUCCUGUCUCUGAUCCUGUCCAACCAACAGGACAAGCCCUGCCUUACAUUAUCCCAUUUAUGUCUUUAUUUUAUUAUUUCAUUUGUCCUAGUUUCCAUCCUAUCUUUGUUAUUUUUCAACCUUUUUCAAUAUAUUUUAUAUACAACUUGUGUACUAAUGAUCUGAAAAUACUAAACUAAAGAUAGGGCAUCUACGUAAUAUAUACUAUUUAGUUAAAAAGAUAAAUAUAUUGUUUAAAUGGCUCGUUUACUUAUAAAAACAAAACAAAAGUAGUUGUGUGAUUGUGAUUUGUGACCUCUCUUGAUUCCAUCAAAAUAUGUUAGUACUAGUUUAGAGACCCAAAUUGAAUAAUAAGGUUAUGGCCCAAAGAAAAUAAAAAGAACUUAACGUGGCAUAAUACAUAGGUAAACAACUAUCUUGAAAUACUUUAAUUUUGAAAAUGUACGUCUAGACACCUCAACUUAUUACCCGUGUGUCUAGUGGACACUCGACGCUAACGUGACACAUAAUUUUUUAUGGUAUCUAGAUAUGCAUCGUCAAAGUUGGGAGUGUUAAAUUUCAACUGACGCCAAGUUAAGAUGUCUAUUUAUGUAUCAAACUAUCAAGUAUGUUUCAUGGUAUAUAGAGGUUAAGACACAAAUGAAGAGGUAAGUAUAUACAGGCCAAAGAAAACAAGAAAGUACAGAACACUUUAGAAACAUAGCAGUAGUUGUUUUGAUUGAUUCCUACAUAUGGACAAACCAAAAUGAACAUAGAGGUGCAAUAGAAAUAUAUAUAUAUGUUCUACACAACUUUAAGAAGAAACUUCUGCUCCACCAAGAGGCCAAAUGAAGUUCAUCAGAGGAGACCUAUGAUUAGUUGACCAAAUAAAUUUUGAUAAUGUUAACCAAGCUGCAAUUUAACGUUAACGUUUAAAUUCGAAGCAUGACUUCAGUCAUCAUGUGACAAAUUAGUAUGGAUCAUACAACACCAAUGGUGUAAAAUAUCAUAUUAGAGUUUGCGCCUAAGCAGAGGAGCACCAUACUGAGGAUGAAUAGUCACUACUGCAAAUGGAGCAUGUGUAUAUGAUGGAAGAGAGUUCAAAGGAGAACCUUUGUAGUAUCAUUGCUAUUGCCAUUUUUGCUUCCAUCAUCGCAAAGUUUUGUCCAAUGCAAAUUCGAGGCCCCCCUCCAAAUGGGAUAAACGAGAAUUGUCCUUUGGUUGCUUUUGACACUCCUUCACUAAAUCUUUUUGGUUUGAAUUCCUUUGCGUCUUCACCCCAUAUUUCCUUAUCAUAAUGUACUAAGAUUGCGGGUACUAUGAGUAUCACUCCAGCUGGUAGAUUUAGCUCCCCCAGUUUCACUUCUUCUUUAUUCGUUCUACCAAAUGUUGGUAAUGGAGGGAAUAGCCUUAGCGUCUCGUACAAGAUCAUGGUCACCUGUGAAGAAGGAUCGCAUAAGUUGGCAGAAGAAUUAGGGGGUGCUUUGCUAAAAGAUUUAACAAACUUAUACGCAUUUCUUGGCUAAUAAGUACCACUAUAUUGAGGACACAAAACAUACUAUUGAAAAGAACUUGUGAACAGUACUUACUAUUUUCAAGCGACCUAGUCCUUCCAAAUCUGGUUUAUCAUUUCCAAAUACCUGCAACACCUCCUCCCUGGCACGUACUUGCCACUCUGGAUGUAGGCACAACAAAAUCAUUGUCCAGACGAGCAACACUGAAGUGGUCUCUUGUCCAGCAAAAUAGAAUAACUUGCACUCUUCAAUCACUUCAAUUGUUGUCAUACCGAAAUCUUUGCUUCCGUGUUGUUCAAUUUCUUUCAUAUUGGAUUCAAGUAAUAUGCCUAAUAAGUCAUCUUUACUAGUCUCCCCUCCUUCCAUUGCCCUCAAUCUUUUGUCAAUGAUACGCCUAAUUGUUGUUUGAAUAUCCUUUUCAAUUUCCAGCAUUCUUUUGUUUCUUUUUGU